rnacentral:sRNA from 1 species
UUUUAAUACUUUUUUUUGGUGAAUCCCCAACCCAUUUCUCUGACUCAACCUCUCGGCCAGCUGUCUUAAUAUUUGUUUUAUCUACCGACCGUGGGAUAUUUUGUCUCCUGCGACUGCCGAGCACGUGAUCGCGAAUAGGCGUUGGAAAAAGUUGGUGCAUUGCACCACACUUUGAACAUUGAACACGGAUUAUACAAAUUAUUUAGCAUUUACUCGGGAUUACCAGCGUAUUAAAAGUGUAAUUAAUUUGUGUCUGUGUCAAUGCACAGUCUGCUGUUAAAUAAUCAACCAAUAUCGACUGCGAAAACCGCACAGAACAUACACGGCCGAUGCGAAAAUCUCUCAAAGGAUAAAAGGACAAAGGCCAAAAGGAAUUUGCAGCAAUGCAGCAGCACAAAAUGAGUAUCAAAUAUUAUGCAUAAAUAAUUAAAUGCAUACAUAUACGAGAAACACACAAUGCCUGGCCAGGAAUAAGGCGUGGUCCUUGACUGUGCAGGGUACAGUGAACACGCCUACUGCCGGCUCCUGCAGAGAUUUAUGAUCCGGCGGCCGCUUCUUGGGCCAAAAGGGGCAACGGACGGAGAUUGACAUAAAUAAAAUGGCUUGCUGGUUGGUUAGCCGGUUGUCGGUUGUUGGUUGUUGGUUGUUGGCUGUUGGCUGUUGGUUGGUCGCUUGUGGCCCGGUUUGGUCGGUUGGCUGGUCAAGGAGCAUGAAAACAAUUUCAGCCUGUUUCAGGACCGCCGCCGGACUGCUGGUCUGCCUGCUGCACUUACAACAUCGGAGACAAAUGCGAACACUUUCGAAAGAUGAAAGUUCAAUUCACUUCAAAGGCUUCUAGAUAUUUUCCAUUGCAUUCCAAAUUUUAAAGAAGCAGUUUCUAUACUUUCUUUACCAUUUCAGAGUAUGUAUUAUCUUCUUCAAGUAUUUGUAAGUGUCAUAAUAGUUUAAACUCUCUGAAAUACAGUACGCUUGCCUAGAUACCUAGUAA